AGCUUCUCAGGUUCACACCUGGAGAGUUUCCAGAACUCUACCAGUCUCAGCUAAAAGAGGGAGAGUCAAGCAGAGGCCUACCCAUUCCAUUCCUAGUUUGGGCAGUGGCUAGCGAGUGGAAGGCAAUCUGUCACAAGU